rnacentral:rRNA from 1 species
CAGUAGCCGCGGGAAUACCGAGGGUGCAAGCGUUAAUCGGAAUUACUGGGCGUAAAGCGCGCGUAGGUGGUUUGUUAAGUUGGAUGUGAAAGCCCCGGGCUCAACCUGGGAACUGCAUCCAAAACUGGCAAGCUAGAGUACGGUAGAGGGUGGUGGAAUUUCCUGUGUAGCGGUGAAAUGCGUAGAUAUAGGAAGGAACACCAGUGGCGAAGGCGACCACCUGGACUGAUACUGACACUGAGGUGCGAAAGCGUGGGGAGCAAACAGGAUUAGAUACCCCCGUAGUCCCUGUCUCUUAUAC